rnacentral:rRNA from 1 species
AGUGAACGCUGGCGGCAGGCCUAACACAUGCAAGUCGAACGGCAGCACAGUAAGAGCUUGCUCUUACGGGUGGCGAGUGGCGGACGGGUGAGGAAUACAUCGGAAUCUACUUUUUCGUGGGGGAUAACGUAGGGAAACUUACGCUAAUACCGCAUACGACCUACGGGUGAAAGCAGGGGAUCUUCGGACCUUGCGCGAGUGAAUGAGCCGAUGUCGGAUUAGCUAGUUGGCGGGGUAAAGGCCCACCAAGGCGACGAUCCGUAGCUGGUCUGAGAGGAUGAUCAGCCACACUGGAACUGAGACACGGUCCAGACUCCUACGGGAGGCAGCAGUGGGGAAUAUUGGACAAUGGGCGCAAGCCUGAUCCAGCCAUACCGCGUGGGUGAAGAAGGCCUUCGGGUUGUAAAGCCCUUUUGUUGGGAAAGAAAAGCAGCAGGUUAAUACCCCGCUGUUCUGACGGUACCCAAAGAAUAAGCACCGGCUAACUUCGUG